CCUACGGGUGGCUGCAGUGGGGAAUAUUGGACAAUGGGGGGAACCCUGAUCCAGCCAUGCCGCGUGUGUGAAGAAGGCCCUCGGGUUGUAAAGCACUUUCAGUGAGGAAGAACGCCUGGUGGUUAAUACCCAUCAGGAAAGACAUCACUCACAGAAGAAGCACCGGCUAACUCCGUGCCAGCAGCCGCGGUAAUACGGAGGGUGCGAGCGUUAAUCGGAAUUACUGGGCGUAAAGCGCGCGUAGGUGGCUUGAUAAGCCGGUUGUGAAAGCCCCGGGCUCAACCUGGGAACGGCAUCCGGGACUGUCAAGCUAGAGUGCAGGAGAGGAAGGUAGAAUUCCCGGUGUAGCGGUGAAAUGCGUAGAGAUCGGGAGGAAUACCAGUGGCGAAGGCGGCCUUCUGGACUGACACUGACACUGAGGUGCGAAAGCGUGGGUAGCAAACAGGAUUAGAUACCCCAGUAGUC
rnacentral:rRNA from 1 species